rnacentral:lncRNA from 1 species
CGCCGCCGCCACCACAGGCCCCGCUGCCGCUGCCGCUGCCACCGCCGCCGCCGCCGUCGUCUCCCCAACCUUCUCCUCCAUUCUCGCACAGGCCCUCGCUCCCCCUCACCUGCCGCGAUCGAUCCGGGCAAGCAAGCUCGCUCCGCAGUUGGACGGACCACUGGAUCUUGGCAGCUACGCGACGACCUCCUGGCACAUCGCCGGCCCGUCGUUUGCUCCCGUCUCCGUGACCUCGCUCUCCCGACCGAUCUCGAUCUGCUGCUGGUCGUGCAGUGCGUGGGCGUGGCAAUGGCUUGGCACGGGAGAAGAGGCGGAUGGAGAGGAGAGCUGCGGCUGCGGCGCUCGCUGCUGCUUGUUAUUUUUAGCGCCACCCCACCACUGCCCGCUUCUUU